GUGGGUAGCUCGAGUUGACUCUUGAGAAACUAGAGUCGACUCCUGACAUAUGGACAGUUCUAAGGGCUAUUUCUCCACUCCAACGACUAGUUCAAUCCUUCCAAUAAUCAAAACUUAUUCUCCAGUCACUUUCUAGUCUAUUAAAAACUAGAUAAUCAUUUGAAAAGAAAAAGAAAGAGAUUAUAAAGAGAAAUACAUCAUUUAUGAGAGUAU
rnacentral:lncRNA from 1 species